AAUGAAAUAUGUAGUAGCAAAAUCAAAUUAAAAAUAUGUUGCAAAAGUAAUUGAAAAACUCGUGAAGGUGUUCACAAAGGAAUUGUAUAAAAGUACACGAGUGUGGUCAAGCGACAUAUGGUGCAUUCCAAUUUAAUUUUCAAAAUUAAUAAAGUAAACAUCUAAUAAAAUAAAUAUUGCUAAAAUGAGUAAAGGAGUGUAAUCGAAGGCAAAACAUUUCUUAAAUAAAUAAAAUUCUUAAGCAGACAACUUUGUAUGGAAUGCUCCACUACACAAGUCUUCUAUAUCCCUACGCACAUCUGAAAAUAUGUUCAUUCCGACCACACGGUGGUAAAUUAAACGAAAUUUAUUUGGCUCCAAUAUAUAUUUAUGUCUGUGCAACGGUGAACAUAUGUUGGCUACAACACUCCAGCACUGACUUUUGCAGUCGAUUUACCUAACAUUAGAGAAACAAAUAUUCACCUUGUGGAAAGGCAAUAUCAGACAGGCCAUCUGUCGUAGGCAAACAUAUGUGAGAUGCCUCGUAGACACAUCCGAUUUUAAUUAAGUGAAACGCUGUGGUAUGAAAACCGAAGCAACACAAGCACACACACAUGUGUGCACCUAACACACUAUUGCGUCCUGUAAGCAUACGGGGAUAUCUAUUUGACCAGUAGUUGUUGCUAACAAACAAACUGAGCUCAAAUAAAUUGAGUGCGGACUAUUUGGCUAGGUCUCAAGGCUAAAUAUAUCUUGAAAUGGACGCUCAUUUCGUUGUACACACACAUGAAUGUACAUACGUAGCUGAGCUGUGACUUUUCCUUCUGGGUGGCAUUCAGUCCCUUCUGUUUCUAACAACCAUAAGCAAUAUGGCGAAAAUUUGAAAACUGUUAUUUUCAUUACAGCCAACAGUGUACACCUUGCCACGGCCAAUAUAAUGGUCAUAUGCUACAGAUGCGCCCACUUACCUAAGCGCAUAAAACAUAUCAUACUAUAUUUGCAAUCAACAUUGUGCCAGCUAGCAAUACAAUAAUGGGCUGAUAAAAGCAAGCAAGCAAUCUCCAUCGGUUGUUAAGGACAAAUAGCAAAAAUUGCCAAACAACGCUCUCGGCUAUUUACAUCGGUCGAUUUUAGUUGCCUAUUUGCUUUGCGAUUGGCAGCAGUGAAAACCAAAUCGAAAAUUGGCAAUGUAAUUGCAGAAAUUGAGUACGAAACACAGCAUACAUACGGACAUACAUACAAACAAGAAUAACAAAAACAACACAUGUUCGCAUUAUUUGAAUAACAGGAAGUGUGUGCAAAAGAGAAAACAAAUUGGGUAGGCAAAUACGUAAACAAAGCUCCGGGUGUGUUUGUGUGUGUGCAGAAAGUCAAGCUGCAUUAAGAAAAUUGCAUACAAACCACCACAGCCAAAGAAAGUGAAAAGCCAUACCAUCGGCAAAGAAAAGUGGAUGUGGAAGUAAUUGCUGGAGCAUCAUCUAACACUUCCGUAUCAAUGGCGACCAUUAGUACACACUCGUAUAUAAGUAUCAUAGAGUUGCACAUUACCGGAAGACAGUUGUCAACAUUUUUUGUGUGAUUCUACGGACUUUUUAAGUGCAUCAAGAGCUCGAGUGGGGAACCUUGCGAAACCUAACCUCAUCUCAACUCAUGUCUCUCCUUCGGAACUACCGGAUUAUUCGUAACCGUGGGAAGUAAGAAGAUAUUUUAAGCCUUCUCCAUUCAACAGUAGGCAGUAGCAGUUACCGCCAAACUACCAAAACUUUUCUUAAGAAGCGAGUGCAUUGAAAAAACAUGCCACCCACCGGACAGUCAUACUAAUGCCUUAAUGGACUCUUGUCCACUAAGUAUAUCAGUCAGUAAUAAAUUCAUAACUCCAUGUUGUCUGAGUAGCCAUCUUUGGAUGUCCGAAAGAAUUCUGGGAGCAUACUGUCCUUUCAAUGAGAAUAUUACAAUGGACAGUCUAGUAUCUAAGGCUUCAGCAGCUUCUCUGGAUAUGGUUCGGGAAGAAGUCAUUUAACUUAUUCCUGAGAAUCUUUGGACUGCGCAAUGGGACUUGUAAGGCUUGUGUGCUUACGAUUAAGGUUCCAAUCGUAUCAUUUUUACAGAAUUAUGUGCGGGUGGCGGCUUAGUUGCUCUCACGAGUUCUGGUCAGUUUUCCUGACAAAAUAAGAACUAAUAUCAGUAAGGACAUUGAAACGGACUCAAAACAAACAACUACUCGGAUUAUUCACCGUGAAUUCACCACAAUUUAUUGGCACUUAACAACAUACCUACAAGAGUGCAAAUAAAGAA